rnacentral:misc_RNA from 1 species
CUGAGUACUACACUCUCUACCCUUUGUGAACUAUUAUACCUGUUGCUUCGGCGGCGCCCGCGAGGGCGCCCGCCGGUCUCAUCAGAAUCUCUGUUUUCGAACCCGACGAUACUUCUGAGUGUUCUUAGCGAACUGUCA